GCUAAAGGGCGAGGCCGUGGUGUACUGUUAAAUAAACCAAAUUUUUGUUUACAGGAAUAACUUGAGACCAUUUUGGCUUAUAAUUUUGAAUCAAGGUAUUUUGAGAAAUGUGGAAAUCUUUGAUGCAGAUGAUUGUCAACAAAAAAAAACAUGUAAGAAUAGUUGUCCAUGUUCUUUUCUUUUCUUUUUCUCUCUAUACUGUCACAUUUAUGUGGCAUCUCCUAUUCUAUUUUUCUUAUGAACUUUUCUCUGUAUUUGUACGACUUGUUCAAAAGCUCCUUUAUCAAGAACAAUAACUAAGCUCCUACAUGUCUUGUUGUGAAACUGCAGUAUUAUGGCCUGUUUGUAUGGGGAAUUUUUUAUUCCGCAUUUGGGGAAGAGAGAGUUUGCGGUCCCAAGCUUAGUAUU